rnacentral:rRNA from 1 species
GACGAGGGGUCCUAGCGUUGUUCGGAAUCACUGGGCGUAAAGCGUAUGUAGGCGGGUUUUUAAGUCGGGUGUGAAAUCCCACGGCUCAACCGUGGAAUUGCAUUCGAAACUGGAAAUCUUGAGUGUGGGAGAGAUUGGUAGAAUACCUGGUGUAGUGGUGAAAUGCGCAGAUAUCAGGAGGAACACCGGUGGCGAAGGCGGGUCUCUGGGCAACAACUGACGCUGAGGAGCGAAAGCGUGGGGAGCGAACAGG